GACCCGCCAUCUUAGCCAGAAAGCUAGUCAAAGCGAGACAUGUCAAAGACAAUGAUUGAAGAAAAGACUGCUGUCCAGUGUGAAGACAACCCGCAAGGAUUUGGUGGUGUUGUGGUUUAUAACGAUAUAACGACUCGUAUAUACAGUGGCGACCGAGCAAAUAUACUGCUUGUGACUCAAUAUAUGGAAGAUCCAUAUGGCUUUCGGCAAGACAGGGAUUGUGAGCGUUUAUCAGUUGCUGUCAAUAAUGGAUAUUUACCUAAUAACAUACCUGUUAAUCUUGGUCAGGCACCUCCUCCUGUGAAUUAUGAACCUGUAGCUCCUGUCUACAGAGCGUCCUCGGUACGGCCCUUCACCGUGCCACAUAGAGGCUAUGCAUACGGGGGACUGCCUCUAAUGGCCAGGGGCAGAGCUGAGGAAGUCUGUAGCAACCAGGUUAUCUCCUAUUCUUCUGAAGGUAUUAAUUCCCCUGGACUUACUGGUAACAGUCCGUGUUCAGAGGAUCAAGGAGGCCAGAGUCCAGGGCGACACAGAAGGAAGAAGCAAGCUCAGCAGAGGAGAAAGAAGAGCCAUGUCUGAGCAACCAGCCAAGAGAUGUUUUCUUUUAAUUGUUUUGCAUGCCAGUAGACCUAUUUUCACCUUACUAAUAAAUGUAUUGGCUGCACCA
rnacentral:lncRNA from 1 species